AGACGUCUACAUUAGAUACCCGUCGUAGUCCCAGCCGUAAACUAAUGCGCGUUAGGUGUAUCGGUGACCACGAGUCACCGAGGUGCCGAAGGGAAACCGUGAAACGUGCCGCCUGGGAAGUACGGUCGCAAGGCUGAAACUUAAAGGAAUUGGCGGGGGAGCACCGACAACGGGUGGAGCCUGCGGUUUAAUUGGACUCAACGCCGGGAAGCUCACCGGAAUAAGACAGCGGAAUGAUUGCCGGGCUGAAGACUCUGCAUGACUAGCUG
rnacentral:rRNA from 1 species